AGAUGUGAGGGCGAUCUGGCUGCUACAUCUGUCACCCCACUGAUCGCCAGGGUUGAUUCGGCUGGUCUGGCUGGCUGGGCAGGGGUCCCCUUCCUCCCUCACGGCUCCAUGUGCGCCCCUCCCCAAGCUGCGCCGCCCAGUCAAAGAGGACGACCUUCCCGAAUAGAGGAGGACCCGUCCUCCUCCGUCAAGGGUAUGUGAGUAGCUGUGCCCCCUGCUAGAACCUCCAAACAAGCUCUCAAGGUCUAUUUGCAGGAGAACGUAGGGUGGUCAAGCUUCCAAGACUCCAGACACAUCCAAAUGAGGCGCUGCACGUGGAAGUCUGCUUUUCUAA
rnacentral:snRNA from 1 species